rnacentral:lncRNA from 1 species
AAAAAAUAAGAAAAUAAAUAUUAACUGCGACGCCCCCAAAAUAUGUAUACAUCACCCAUCUUGGGUCGCCAGAUACAAGGUACUGAAUACAAAUACAAACUAAUUAUACAACAGUCGUGUAAAAUACGACAAAACAUAGGCUGUGAGUUUUAAUACAAAUAUUGUCAUCUAGACAAUAUCCACACUCAAUGGAGUCCUCA